GGGAGUGGAAUGAAUUGAUGCUGGGUGGGAUGUGGCCUCCACACUUAACUCUUGUUUUCCUGAAUUACAUGUUUCUCUUCGGGCCUAGGGUUUCCUGCAUCUGGCUCAAUGACUUCCACACUAAGCAUUUCCCAGUUCAUGGAGAACGACACUCAUUGGAAUCCACUACGAGGCUUUUGGGUCCUCUGACAGGAAUCAUCGAAGAUUGCCUGAUGCCAGCACAAGGCAGCUCAUUGUCUCAGGAAUCUACAGUGGCUCUUGAUGGUACUGCUGGACACCCUUUUCAGGAUUGCUAUCACCACAGACGGCCUUUGAGACACUGACUCAACAUCAUCUGCAACUGUGAGAAGCCAAUCAGAGGUGUGAGAACACAGCUCCACCUUGGUCUUGCCGUUGUCAUGGUUACUGCCUUUCCCUGAGAGCCUCUGUGAGGCCCAGGAUGAAGAGAGACAGUGUGGUAAAGAGAACAACCAUCUUUCACUGACGCCAGCCUCUGGGGUCUCAG